ensembl:miRNA
UAUUAGGUUGGUGCAAAAGUAAUUACAGUUCUUGUCAUUACUUUGAAUGGAAAAGAUCACAAUUACUUUUACACCAACCUAAUAUUU